UGGCCAUUUCAGUUAACUGUUGUUUUCAUAUUUCUUAUCGUUUGAAAUUUCUCAAAAACGAAAAGAGAAUUAGUCUAUGAUCACUUGUUCUAAUUAGCUAGGACCUAGCUAGGAGUUUUUAUUUUGAGAAAUGCCACUCCCACCGCUUUAUCCUCCCGCUCCUCCCUCCCGCUUGACAUGGCAAGCCCACGUGGCCUGAUUUUUAAAUAAUAAAAACACAAGUUUGAAUCCAGUUUUCUUCACUCCCUUCAUCGAUUUUUCUUCCUCUCUCCCAACCCAACGUUUGCAAGCCAAACCCAUCGAUUAUUCUUCGAAUCUCAUCGUUUGCCAGCCAAACUCAUCAAGUUUUCUUCGAAUCCCAGCAAGCCAAACCCAUUUACGUUUUUGUUGGAAUCUCAUCGUCCGCGACUCCGCAAGCCAUCACAGUUCCUUCUAAGAAUCCACAUCGUCUUUCUUUGACAUCGUAGAAGCCUUCCUGUCAUUCUCUCCUCCACAUCAUUACCCUUAUACACAGAAAAUGCUCAUAGAUGGAGUCGCCCGCUACUGAGCCUCAUAGACGGAGUACCCACAAGUGAAUUGUUCAAUUCUGAAGCUCAUAUUGGUCAUCAUUUUCAAUUUGGGAUCAGCUUAUGCUACUUCUGGUAUAAAUAAUUUCUUUUGGCUGCUACUGGAAUCUGAGGUGAAAGCUGCCAAUCUAUGCAGAUCACGUGCUUGUAAAUUGUCAAGAAUUCAUUUUUCUGUAAAGCAAAUUGUUUUCAUUUGUUACUCGUAUGUAGAAUAAACCAUGGAGCAUUUAUAUGCUGUAAGCACAAAUGUUGCUUGGAUAUCGGGGCACACUUUAAAUGCCAACCCCAGUUUGUGACAGGAUUCGAUAUUGCUUAAUAGAAAUCUCUCAUCCAGUAGCCUGUAUGGAUGGUAUUAUCUUUUUUCCCCUUCUAA